GCCCUCCCGUUGGGGCCGGGGCGGUAGCCCAGAGAUCCGCGGCUCGGCCCGCGACUUACAGUCACUUUUCUUGUUGCGGGCGCUUCCGGUUCCGGUACGAGGAGCCGCACGGGAUCCGAGGCGCCGGGCAUGGCGGGGAGCCGCCUGGAAACCGUGGGGAGCAUUUUUUCGCGGACGCGGGACCUGAUUCGGGCUGGUGUGUUGAAGGAGAAGCCCCUCUGGUUUGACAUAUAUAAUGCCUUCCCCCCACUGAGGGAGCCGGUCUUCAGAAGGCCCCGCUUGCGAUACGGCAAAGCUAAAGCUCAGAUCCAGGACAUCUUCUACCACGAGGAUCGGAUUAGAGCGAAAUUUUAUUCAACCUAUGGAUCUGGUCAAAAAGCUUUUGAUCUGUUCAAUCCAAACUUCAAGUCUACCUGUCAACGGUUUGUGGAGAAGUACAUUGAGCUACAGAAACUUGGAGAAACAGAUGAAGAGAAGUUAUUUGUGGAAGCAGGGAAGGCUUUAUUGGCAGAAGGUGUCAUUUUAAGACGAGUAGGAGAAGCAAGGACUGCUCUCAGCUCUGACCAAGCCUUGCUCAGAACCAGGCUGUCUGUUUCCCUGACUACCUGGGACCUGGGGCAUGUGACAUGGUGUGGCUCUGACAAUGGAAGCAGGCUGGCACUGUGGAGCUAGGAACAAGGAAAGCCUUCUAGCACCCAAUCAAUCAAUCAGUCAAUCAAUCAAUCAAAAAAGACAAAGGAGGAAACCAAACACCAUCCUGUGAACUUGUCCACUAUUGGAACUUACCCAAUGCUGAUGAGGAAACCAGCCAAGAGCUGGCAUUACCGGCCAAGGUUGCACAGCUGCUCGGGGGCAGAGCCGGUGGGCCUGGUGCUGCAGGUGACUCUUACCCUCUCCCCUCCCACCUCUAGAUCCCCCACCACCUUCCUUUGAGAACCCUAAACCAGCGCUCUGUGGACCACAGACCUCAGUGAGCACAAUCCAAGAUGCGUUUGUUGAAAAAGUAAUUAUUUUAUUUUAAGACACAUAAAUCAAACAUUCGGUAUUAGUAGGGCCUCAAAUUUGGUCUGAGUUGGUUAUUUCUUGAAAAGCUUGUAGGAUGAGACUUCUAGCAAUUGUAGGUGAAACUAUUUGGCCCAGCUCUCCCGGGAGACAACUACAAUAGAUGCAUAAAAUAUUUUUUGAAAUAUUCUUAAAUAGUAUUAAAUUGCUAAUAGGAGAGUAAGAAUGACUAGGUUGACAGAGAUGGAAGAAUAGGAACCAGAGAGGUGAGUGAGCACAGAGGCUGCUUUCACCCUGAGGGUUACUGAUCCUGAUGGCCCUGCAGCUACCGGAAGAGAGAGGGCGAUGGAGGCCAGAAGGCAGCCCUCUCCACAGGGCUAUACCCCUGGGGGAGGUGACCUGGAAGUGGAGAAGCCUUCACACAGAAUUACAACCCAGGUCCAAUUACCCAGAUUGUCCAGGUCCAGGAAAUCUCAGCCUUGGAUGUGGUUUAAGGUGGGCCCUUGGGACUUCCCUGGAUGUCCAGGGGUUAAGACUUCGCCUUCCAAUGCAGGGGGUGCAGGUUCAAUCCCUGGUCGGGGAGCUAAGAUCCCACAUGCCUCGUGGCCAAAAGAAAAAAUACCAAAAACAUAAAAAACAGAAGCAAUAUUGUAACAGAUUCAACAAAGACAAAAAAAAAAAAAAAAGGUCCACAUCAAAAAAAAAAAAAGGUGGGCCCAGACUGCUAUGCCUCCAACACAUUACAGAAGCAGAUCUCUGGACAUCUGGCCUCAUAUUACUCCUUAAAUAAUUUAAAAAAUACUGGACUAUGGUCGAUGAGAACCAGGCACACAAGGAAACCCGACCCCGUGAGACCCAGCAAAAACAGGCAAUAGAAACAGAUCUAUAAAGACUUCAGUUACUGAAACCAUCAGACUACAGACAAUAAAUGACUUUUCUUCCUUAUUAUGUUUAAAUAAAUAAAACAUGAGCUUGAAGAUCUCUUACAGAACAGAAGACAAUAAAUGAGAAGUUGUUAUAGGACAAAUACUCAGCUGUCUAUCCACCGCUCUCCCCUCCCAUUCCACCCUCAACCCUCGUCCCGCAAAGAAGGAAGAAAUUCUGGGCAGCAGGAUUCAGUAUGGAAAUCUCACUUAGCUUGGUACCAGGAAAACUAGGAAGGACAUUGUCUUAUUCUCAGUAUGUUUAUUUUC